AACUUCGUCUAUUAUCAUUGUCACUACUUGUCUUUUCCCGUCAAACUAUUGUAGUGUUCCUCUAAAUUUUAGUCUAAACUCAUAUUCUAUAAUAUACUCGGUUUAAUGUCUACUUGUCCUUAAUCCCUUUUUUUCAAGUGCUCUAUUUCUUAAACUUAUUGUUAACUUCUUACAGAUUUUCUCUAAUCGAAACUAUACAAUCCGUGCAAAAAUCAAGAUUGCAAAUAGCAUGCACUAUGGACCUAUGGUACCUCACCUUGUAUUUACCUCAUCCAUUAAUUAUCUUAUUAUAUCGUUUGGAAUAUAAUUUUUUUUUUUUUUUUUCGAGGAAGGGAAAAUCGUCUAUUCUACGUUUAUGGUUUUAACCAUUUUAUGAGUAAUGAUGACGCCUAAGAAUUCUCGGUUGUAUUAUUGUACACUAGUAUUAUACAGCGUGUUCAACGUAAUAUAAGACAUUCACUU